UAUAUCAGAUUACCUAGAUGCUAUACGUAGGUAUAAUAGUGUAAGACCACAGCUGACCAUUAAAGUGAUGGGUUAAAAAUGAAGUUAUUUAAAUUAAUUGUACAUCAAAAAAACUUUAGUGGUGAAGAUUUAAUAAUUAAUCCCAAAGAUUAUCCAGGAAUUAAGACCGGUGAUGUUGUUGAAAUUUAUCAUCCAGAAGAUGAGUUCAGCCGCUUACUUCUACAAGUUACAUCCUUUAAAGAAGAUCUUCAAGGACGUGAAACAAUUAGUGUUGAAAAUAAUGUAGCAACUAUGUUUCAAUUAAGAACUUUUGCUGAUGUUUAUAUGAAUAUUGUUAAUCCAGAAGAUGUAGCAUUAGACUCAGUUGAGCUAACAUUCAAAGAUCAAUAUAUGGGACGCAGUGAAAUGUGGAGAUUAAAAAAUAGCUUGGUUAAUACCUGCGUUUAUAUGAAUAAGAAGAUAGAAUUUUGUGGAGGUAGUAUUCGUUGUCAAGUUUACGAAAUGUGGUCUCAAGGCGAUAGAGUUGCUUGUGGUGUUAUCACUGAUGAUACUAAGGUAGUCUUUCGUUCUUCUACAAGUAUGGUUUACCUUUUUAUCCAAAUGAGUUCAGAAAUGUGGGAUUUUGAUAUUCAUGGCGAUCUUUAUUUCGAAAAAGCAGUUAAUGGAUUUUUAGCAGAUCUGUUUCAAAAAUGGAAAAAGAAUGGUAGUAAUCAUGAAGUAACAAUAGUUUUGUUUUCAAGAACAUUUUAUAAUGCCACGAGUUUAGAAGAGUUUCCAAAUCAUAUGAGAGAUUGCUUACAACAUGAUUAUAGAGGUAGAUUCUAUGAAGAUUUUUAUAGAGUAGCAGUACAGAAUGAAAGAUACGAAGAUUGGAGUAAUGUAUUGGUGCAAUUACGUAAAUUGUUUACUGAUUAUCAAAAAAUUGUUUUGGAGUAUCAUCAAAGGCCAGAUAUUAUUAUGCCUAAAGCAGUUAACUCUACGGCAGCGCAAGGCAAUUUUUUAGAAGUCUUGAACAUGUCAUUAAAUGUUUUUGAAAAACAUUAUCUUGACCGUAGCUUUGAUAGAACAGGUCAAUUGUCAGUUGUAAUAACUCCAGGUGUAGGUGUAUUUGAAGUUGACCGAGAAUUGACGAAUGUUACUAAACAAAGAGUUAUUGACAAUGGAGUAAAUAGCGAUUUAGUUUGUGUUGGAGAACAACCAUUGCAUGCAGUUCCUUUAUUAAAGUUUCAUAAUAAGGAUACAUCUAUAAAUGCACCAGAUGACUACAGUAUGCCUCAUUGGAUUAAUCUUAGUUUUUAUUCGACGAAUAAAAAAAUACCUUAUUCUACUUUUAUACCACGCAUUAAAUUGCCUCAAAAAGUGUCUAAACAUUCUACGGAUAAUGGCAAAUUAAAUUGUAAAACCAAACUUUUACAAGAAGAUCCUAGGGAAUGCUUGCAUAAUUCUUUAUUUGAUUAUGACGCUUAUGACGCUCAAGUUUUUCAAUUGCCUCAUGUUCAUACUUCAAGUAGUUUGCAAAGAGUUACUACGAGAACUAAAAAAACAAGUGUGGCCUGCAUUGAGACUCAUAACAAUGCUCAUAUAUUAAAGCUUUUAAAACGUAAAAUGUCAGAUCCUGAUAUUCAUCAUCCACCACCUGAAACACAUGCAUUAAUACCAGCAGCAGCAAGAAGUGCUGCAAUCUCUAUACCUCAUAGGGCAGAAAGUGUUGAGAAUAACGGUUCUAAUGAGGAAGCAAAUGUAUCAAGAACAUCUAUCAAAAGUGAUAUAACUGAUUCUGAAAUAUCACCACCAUUCAGACCAGUUGUUGGAAGUGCUGGUAGUCCUACUAAUUCAAUUUCUCAGCCUACAAAUAUAGUCAGACCUAGCAGAGCACUUAUCAAUCCUUUUGAUCCUUCACACGUUACUAUAAAACUAACUAGCAAUAGACGCAGAUGGAGUCAUAUUUUUCCUAAAGGUCCAUCGGGUGUUUUGAUACAACAACAUCAUUAUCAAGCUGUUCCAACUCAGUCGCAUCCUGAACCCCAGAGUGAUACUACUUCAACGUUGAGUGGAUCUCCUAUGGAUCAAAUUACAACUACUAGCAAUCCACAUCAUAUAUCAAGAUCAGCAUCUCAAAUUGGAUUUCAAGAUCAUACAAAAGGAAAGUUUCAACGAAUAAAUCUGAUAGGCGGAGAUAAAGUUUCAAAUACUAAUUCAUCUGGAACUAAUAAGAGCUUAACACUUUUAUGGGGUGCCACUGGUGAGCAGGAGUGGACACCAGCACUUACAACAGCAAUCAUAGGUGUUGACUGGAAGUCAUUAACAAUUCCAGCUUGUUUGCCUAUUACUACAGAUUACUUCCCAGAUAAAAGGAGUUUACAAAAUGAUUAUGUUGUUUCUGACUAUAAUCUUUUACCAGAUGAUGUAAAUGCAGACUUUGCACAACAACGAGCAGUUUAUAAAAAACCUUUAACAACUGCAGAAGUCUUCAAAGAGCUCGUUUCACAGAGACUGGCACAAGGUUUCCAACUAAUUUUAUUACCACCUAUCAACAAAAAUCAAAGUAAUACGCCUGGUAGUGGUACAGCUGCACCCAUAAGUUCUGUAAUGCGAGGAAGACAAGCAGAAUCAGAACCAAAAGAAGAAUACUUGCUUAGUAUUGGACGAAUUUUUCAUAAAAUAUCACUUUAUGGUAAUUCUAUAACAGUUACAAGAUACAGGCCAAGGCACCCUUAUCCACCAUUUAAUAUCCAUUAUCGAUAUAGAUUUCAUGCUCCUCAUCAUGAUACUUAUGAAGUAUCAUGGGUAUCUUUUACAACAGAGAAACUUGAAAAUUAUAAUUGGAACUAUUUAGAUCAUUAUAUAUGCACAAGAGGACAUACUGAUUUUGCUUUAGUAGAGACACUUAAAUAUUGGAGGUUUAGAGUAUUUUUACUGCCGAUGAACAAUUUUGCAACUCGAAAAAUUUUAGAAGGUUCAUCAAAGUGCGACAUAUAUACACCAGCUUCAGCAGCCGAGCAAGCUUCUCUCAUGGAUGGAUUUUUACGUUUUAUAGAAGGAUGGCUGAACAAAAUACGACGGCCGCUUCCUAAUAAGAAUUGGAGCCCCACAGUUCUAAGUGGUGUCCCUCCAAGAGACCCUGCCUCUCAUUUGACCAGACGCAGGCACAGCACGAGCCUAAUAUUCCUCACUAACCAGACCAGUCUAGUAAGCAGCUCUCCCUUUAGGGAACGACUUGGAAGCAACCGUCUACCAGAGAAACCACGACCAAGAUCAGGGUCGAAGGUAAUGGAUAGAGGAAGAGUCUCUCCUGCGAGCGAAGCAGUUCUUCCUCUUGCUUUAGAGCAACAACAGCAAGAUCAUUUUGAAACUAAUGAGGAUAGUGCUAAUAUGGAAUUAACAAAGUUGAAAAGUAAUGCUACAAAUGCUGAAAUUUUGGAAGCUAUGAAACAUCCACAAACAGGAGUAGGAUUUCUUACACAACAUCCAUCUUUACCGAGUCAAACUUUUGUUAGUGCAGAUGCGGUUCAAUGGCUAAGUAAUAAUACAGAAGGUGGUGUUACUGUAGAAAGUGCCAUCAAUACUAUAAAAGGAAUGAUUCAAGAAACGCUUAUUUGUCACGCAUCUGGAGAUUUUUCUAAACCUUUUAUAUUAGGAUUUUAUUUAUAUCAUAUAGUUCAGGAUAAGGAAAACCAAAAAGCUGCAGAUUAUUCACCACCUCUGGGCGAUCUUCAAAGUUUUGAAAAUGAGUGGGUGGAAGUUGAAAUGAAAGCUCCCAAAGGUUGGUGUGAACCAACUACUACUACUGCUACUACUACAACUUCUACUACUACUAGUACCACCACUACCACUUUACCAACAAUGUCAUCUCCUAUAUCUAUACCUAAUUAUGAUACUGUUGAUGAAUCGAAUGUACCACUAUUUUUAAGGGACGAUUUAGAUUUAACAAGUUUCUUGGAGGAGAAGGAAUUGAAUGGUCCACCAUAUAAACACACGCAUCUAGACAUUGAUAUCAAUAACAAAAGUGAUAGAAUAGAGUGGGGACAUCUCAGAUAUUCAUCUGGCAACGUAAAGCUCAAAUGUGUGGAAUUCAAAUGAUACCGAUUCCAAGUGAUUUGUUAGCAUUACCAUUUACCUUAAAAAGUGAUCCUUUAAGAGGUCCUAUCUUUAUACCACUCGAUACAGAAUGUCUUAUGGCAAAUAAACAAUUUCUAUUUGAAGAAUUUCGUGAAGAUACGUAUGCUCAAAGGUUAUUCUUAUUUCAAGAAGCCAUAUUACGGAGAUUUGGUUUUAUACCCUGUUUAGUUGAAAGUUCGGAAAAUGAUCAUCAAUAUGUUCAUAUGACUGGGAACGCUUUUAUACUUGUACCAUCCACCAAAAGUACAAGGCCACGUCAACGUGCUGGUACAAAUAUAGUAAGACGAAGUACAGGA
rnacentral:misc_RNA from 1 species